rnacentral:rRNA from 1 species
ACAGAGAGUAGCUUGCUACUUUGCUGACGAGCGGCGGACGGGUGAGUAAUGCUUGGGAAUAUGCCUUAUGGUGGGGGACAACAGUUGGAAACGACUGCUAAUACCGCAUAACGUCUACGGACCAAAGGGGGGGAUCUUCGGACCUCUCGCCAUUUGAUUAGCCCAAGUGAGAUUAGCUAGUUGGUAAGGUAAAGGCUUACCAAGGCGACGAUCUCUAGCUGGUUUGAGAGGAUGAUCAGCCACACUGGGACUGAGACACGGCCCAGACUCCUACGGGAGGCAGCAGUGGGGAAUAUUGCACAAUGGGCGAAAGCCUGAUGCAGCCAUGCCGCGUGUGUGAAGAAGGCCUUCGGGUUGUAAAGCACUUUCAGUUGUGAGGAAAGGGGUGUAGUUAAUAGCUGCAUCCUGUGACGUUAGCAACAGAAGAAGCACCGGCUAACUUCGUGCCAGCAGCCGCGGUAAUACGAGGGGUGCAAGCGUUAAUCGGAAUUACUGGGCGUAAAGCGUUCGUAGGCGGUUUGUUAAGCAAGAUGUGAAAGCCCCGGGCUCAACCUGGGAACUGCAUUUUGAACUGGCAAACUAGAGUACUGUAGAGGGUGGUGGAAUUUCCAGUGUAGCGGUGA